CCGCUCAUGGUCCUUGUCGGACUCGGGCUGGCUCUGCGCCCGUUCGGGCUUGGGGUUGGCGGCCGGUGGAUCCGGCUGCUGCACCGACAUGGUCCUGCGCAGGUGGUUGCGCUUGCGCAGAAACUCCGGCUGCGCAUGCAGCCCAAAGCUGCCCUUGCGCAGAAUCAUGCGCGAGUUGUUCUUCUUGGGGCGAGACCGGUGGCUGGCCUCCAGUGCUGCCAGGUGUGCUGCGUAGCCUUCACUCAGGAACUGUGAAGGGACAAGCGUCAGAUGCCAUUACACCUGCCGCAACUUGGAUUCUCCCGUGCGUCCAGCAGGGGGCCUGGCCCAAGGCAUUGCUCAGUUAGAGAUGAAUGAGUUGCGAAGGAAGAUGGCCUUCUGCCUCAGUGGGUCGUGCACCAGUCCAUCCGAGAAGAAGAUCAUGCCCUGUGGGAAGUUGUGCUGGGACAGCCACGACACCACCCGCUGCUUCUGCAUGUCCGGCCGCCCCGUGAUGUAAAGGAUCAUGUAGCCCAGGUCCUGCCAGUGCCUGGCGAGAUGGCAUUGCUGGGUCCAGCUCAGCCUGCUACAAGCCACCCACUGCCCAAGUUUCUGCCCUGACGGGGACCGCCUUCCAGAGAAGCCAGCAGUUAUGGUGAGGGGGCUCUCAAGUCCUCACCUCUGGUGAGUGAUGGACAUUUGGAUGGCCUGUGAGGACUAGCCCUACCUGAUACCUCCCCUUUCCCUCUCCUGCUUCCACCUUCUCCACUAACGAGACAGCUUCCAAUAGCCACAGGCCACAGGCUUUGUGCCCACCUUCAGUGCCUGGUCCUUAGCUCAGGCACUGCCUUUCCCCUGAACCACUGCAAAGACCUUAGUAGCCACUUUCCCUUGGGUCUUCCCACUUUGAUCUGAUCUUUUGUAACCUUGAACUAUACACACACACACACACACACACACACACACACACACACACCACAGGCCACAGGCUCAGUUUCCCCGUCUUACAGAUGGAGUAAUCAUCCAGACACCCCCGUGGGGCUAUGUCAGGGAUAAAGGCACUGAUCCCAAAGCAGCUUGACAUAGUCUGCCUGGCAGAGUUGGCUGCAUUUCCAUCCUUGACCGUUUCCAUGGAGAUCUCUAUAAACCACAAACCCAACCCUGUUGCUCCUUCACUUGUUAUGCUUCCUUCCAUACCUGGCUCCCUAGUGCUGAAGAGAUGUGUCAAGGCUUCCCUCUGCUCUUGGACUCUGUCCUGGUGAGUGAACUUUCCCUAUCCACAUGGGGGGGGGUGUUCUGUCACCCCCGUAAUAGCCCUGUACUCCUGACUCAGGACUCUAGACAGCCAACAUCUUUCUAGAUCUCUCUUCUAGGAAGCUCUCCCCACUUCUCAGACAGAAUCUUUACUCUCUAAUGGCCCAGGGUACAGAUAAGCCCAGACCUGGGUAGGUAUUUUUUGUGGUACCAGCCACCAACUACUGGGCUUUCUAAAGCCAGAUGGUGAUCUGACUGCUUGGGAACCUGAAGAUGCACAGUCCAGGUGUUACAGGGAUGCUGGGAGAACACCAGGCACACGGAUCUGUGUUGAGCUCAUAAAAAGCCAUUUCUAGAAACUAGCGAGGUGUCAGUGCUAUGUUGAAGGAGGCAGGAGCCACCACGAAGGGAAAGAGCGCACCCCCCAUCCCCACUUCCCAGCUACCCUCCCAGCAGGCUUUCCAGCACCUCCCCAAGCAGCCAGAAAGCAGCUGGAGGACAACUGUCUCUGAGCCUAGAAGUCAGCCCAACUUCUCUCCCCAAGCAAGGCAGCACAGUCCCCAUGCCAGCUGCCGCGAACUCUGCAAACUCCCGUUCCUAUCCAGCCUUGGGGUCUGAGCCUCUAUUGUCACCACUGAGGAAAAACCUAAUGUACUGUCCCCCAAACUUCUGGCUCCUGCCCUGGGGAGACAUCUUCCUUGGGGAAGGUAACACUCACCGAACAACAUCCACUGCACCUGGCCGGACCUUGGGGUCACUUCCCAUGAUAGACACACUGGCAGCAAAGGAUCCGUCAAUGCUGAAAACCACACACUCCAUCCCCCGGGGCAGCACUGUGAGGUAGCUCAUCGCACAGGUCUGGUCACCCCUGAAAGGUAUCAACCUGAGGUCAGCCUGGGGUCAGGGUCUUGGUGGCACCUCCUGGUACUAUGGCUCGUGGCUUCCUCCCUUUUCUUCUCUCCAUGCAAACAGAAAUAAACUCUGCCUUCCAGCUGCACAUGUAUGGAAGCCCACCAAAAGUCCACUGUGUGAACGUCCUCACACACAUCUUCAUCCUACCUGACCACCAUCUUUACAGGGUAGACACCGACCCCCAGACGCCGGGGCCGGGGCACAUUGUAUGUGAUUCUGCCGCUGUUGUUGGUGAUUUCUGUGUCCAGGUGGACCCACCGGCCUGACGACGGCUCUGUCAUCACCAGGAUGUCCACCUACAGCCAGUGAAGGGAGCAAGGAACCUGCUACAGGCUGAAGGACAACAUGCUUAACAGCCAAGACAACAGACCCCGGGGCACAGUCAGAGCUACCAUGUCCAGAGGGCCAUACAUGAAGCGCCCCACCAAGACCUGGGGGCCAUCUUCAGCAGCAAUUACAUCAUUGGCACGGUGGUUCGCAGUAACAUUCUGCACGGACAGAAAGAAAAAACCCUGCUCAGCUUUUGCAGACAAGGCUCUCAUUCUUGCUUUGUCAUGAAAGCCUUGCAAGGAUGGCUUCCAGGGCGUGGCCCAACUGAGUCAGCUGUCCUGUGAGCUUCCUACGCUAGAAUCCCAGAAACAGACUGUGAAAUACCAAACUGCUCCUUAGGCUGCCCACAGAGGUGUGCCCCAUGCUCUUGCUUCUGCACACCCCCUGAAGUGAGGGCUGGUCUUUACAGCCUGACAAUCAUUUUUAGAUUUCUGUGCUGGAAUCUACCCAGUCACCUUUGGUUCUUCCUUCGGCCUAAACAGCCAUUUACAUAGCUCCUUUUUUUUUUUUAAUGGAAAAUUUCAAAUGCACAAGAAUAGAAAAAAAAAUAAUAUAGAUGAGCUUAUGAGCCUGACCAGAGCAUCCAUACUGAUCAGCUGACCGCCAUCCAGGUGUCCUUUCCCUGAAGCCUCAGCCCCUCAUAGGAUCCUGGAUGGGCUGCUUCCAGACAGAUUCUCUGUGUCCUUUAUAAGACACAGGUCUGACCCAACCUGGCCAGCAUCCCAUACCUUCCACUGAACUCCAAACCCUGAGUGUGGCACACGGAGCCACACCUUGCAGAAGUGCCUCUACAUUCUGCUUGCCUGGUGCCCCUCCUCCACCCUCUUGUUCUGACAUCUCUUUUCCCAAACAGUAGCCCAUCCCCCAGCAAGAGACUCAACCCCAUCCCCUUAUUCUUACUGGCUCCCCAAAAACGUGGAGUCCACCUCCUCUCAACUUGAAGGCCGUGUGAUUGAGCCCCAACACACCUCAACAGAUCUCGUUGGCAUGGGCCCUUAUAGAACCUCCUCACGGGACCUGCCCUAGUAUGGCUCCCUUAAGCACUGCAGCUGUGGAACACUGCAGAGGAUGGAUGGGUGCUUAAAAAUAAGCUUGAGCAAUGGGCUCAUCACACACUAAGAUACCCAGAGUCAAAGACUCAGACAACAAUGGAUGCUGAGGGGUGGGUGUGCCACAAUCCAAACCCUCAAACACUGCUGGUGGGAAUAAAAUGGGGCAACCACUGUAGAAGGUACACUCAAGAGAUUAAGUGUAGGAAGCACCAGUCCCUAUCUAUGCCCAAGGGAAAUGAAAAUAUAUGUCCAUAAAAGGUGCAGAUGAAUAUGUAAAUUAUUCAAAAUAGCCAACAGGUGGAAAUACCCCAAAUGCCCAUCAACGGACAACUGGAUGAACAGGACAUAUGGAUACAGAAGAAUAGUAUCCAGUCAAGAAAAGGAGACAAGUUCCUAUACAUGACACAUCAUGGGUGACCCUAUGUUAAGAUGCUAAGUGAAAGAAGGCAGACAGAAACACACGUGUGACUUCAUUUACAUGAAAUGCUGAGGACGGGCUAGGUCUGCAGAGGUUGACACUAGAUGAUUGGUUGGUUACUCAGGGAGGAGUCAGCAUGGCAUCGCAGAAGAAAAGAGGGCUGCUGGGAAAAGGGUUCCUUUUAUGCUGUGACAACUU